rnacentral:rRNA from 1 species
GAUGAACGCUGGCGGCGUGCCUAAUACAUGCAAGUCGAGCGAACAGACGAGGAGCUUGCUCCUCUGACGUUAGCGGCGGACGGGUGAGUAACACGUGGAUAACCUACCUAUAAGACUGGGAUAACUUCGGGAAACCGGAGCUAAUACCGGAUAAUAUAUUGAACCGCAUGGUUCAAUAGUGAAAGACGGUUUUGCUGUCACUUAUAGAUGGAUCCGCGCCGCAUUAGCUAGUUGGUAAGGUAACGGCUUACCAAGGCAACGAUGCGUAGCCGACCUGAGAGGGUGAUCGGCCACACUGGAACUGAGACACGGUCCAGACUCCUACGGGAGGCACAAGUAGGGAAUCUUCCGAAAUGGGCGAAAGCUUGACGGAGCAACGCCGCGUGAGUGAUGAAGGUCUUCGGAUCGUAAAACUCUGUUAUUAGGGAAGAACAAAUGUGUAAGUAACUAUGCACGUCUUGACGGUACCUAAUCAGAAAGCCACGGCUAACUACGUG